rnacentral:rRNA from 1 species
AUUGAACGCUAGCGGGAUGCUUUACACAUGCAAGUCGAACGGCAGCGCGGACUUCGGUCUGGCGGCGAGUGGCGAACGGGUGAGUAAUGUAUCGGAACGUGCCCAGUAGCUGGGGAUAACUACGCGAAAGCGUAGCUAAUACCGCAUACGCCCUACGGGGGAAAGCAGGGGAUCGUAAGACCUUGCACUAUUGGAGCGGCCGAUAUCGGAUUAGCUAGUUGGUGAGGUAACGGCUCACCAAGGCGACGAUCCGUAGCUGGUUUGAGAGGACGACCAGCCACACUGGGACUGAGACACGGCCCAGACUCCUACGGGAGGCAGCAGUGGGGAAUUUUGGACAAUGGGGGCAACCCUGAUCCAGCCAUCCCGCGUGUGCGAUGAAGGCCUUCGGGUUGUAAAGCACUUUUGGCAGGAAAGAAACGUCGCGGGCUAAUACCCCGUGGAACUGACGGUACCUGCAGAAUAAGCACCGGCUAACUACGUG